GGGUCUUUGGAAACUGUGGAACUUGAGUGCAGAAGAGAAAAGCGGAAUAUCACGUGUAGCGGUGAAAAACGUAGAGAUGUGGAGGAACACCAGUGGCGAAGGCGGCUUUUUGGUCUGUAAAUGACGCUGAGGCGCGAAAGAGUGGGGAGCAAACACGAUUAUAUACCCCGGUAGUUCACGCCGUAAAAGAUGAGUGCUAAGUGUUAGAGGGUUUUCGCCCUUUAGUGCUGCAGCUAAAGCAUUAAGCACUCCCCCUGGGGAGUACGGUCGCAAGACUGAAACUCAAAGGAAUUGACGGGGGCCCGCACAAACGGUGGAGCAUGUGGUUUAAUUUGAAGCAACGCGAAGAACCUUACCAGGUCUUGACAUCCUCUGACACAUCUAGAGAUAGAGCGUUCCCCUUCGGGGGACAGAGUGACAGGUGGUGCAUGGUUGUCGUCAGCUCGUGUCGUGAGAUGUUGGGUUAAGUCCCGCAACGAGCGCAACCCUUGAUCUUAGUUGCCAGCAUUUAGUUGGGCACUCUAAGGUGACUGCCGGUGACAAACCGGAGGAAGGUGGGGAUGACGUCAAAUCAUCAUGCCCCUUAUGACCUGGGCUACACACGUGCUACAAUGGAUGGUACAAAGGGCUGCAAGACCGCGAGGUCAAGCCAAUCCCAUAAAACCAUUCUCAGUUCGGAUUGUAGGCUGCAACUCGCCUACAUGAAGCUGGAAUCGCUAGUAAUCGCGGAUCAGCAUGCCGCGGUGAAUACGUUCCCGGGCCUUGUACACACCGCCCGUCACACCACGAGAGUUUGUAACACCCGAAGUCGGUGGAGUAACCGUAA
rnacentral:rRNA from 1 species